rnacentral:tRNA from 1 species
GCCGUGAUCGUAUAGUGGUUAGUACCUUGCGUUGUGGCGCAUAACCCAGGUUCGAUCCUGUCACGGCA